UGAACAUACCACUUGUUGCCUCGGCGGAUCAGCCCGCUCCCGGUAAAACGGGACGGCCCGCCAGAGGACCCCUAAACUCUGUUUCUAUAUGUAACUUCUGAGUAAAACCAUAAAUAAAUCAAAACUUUCAACAACGGAUCUCUUGGUUCUGGCAUCGAUGAAGAACGCAGCAAAAUGCGAUAAGUAAUGUGAAUUGCAGAAUUCAGUGAAUCAUCGAAUCUUUGAACGCACAUUGCGCCCGCCAGUAUUCUGGCGGGCAUGCCUGUUCGAGCGUCAUUUCAACCCUCAAGCACAGCUUGGUGUUGGGACUCGCGUUAAUUCGCGUUCCUCAAAUUGAUUGGCGGUCACGUCAAGCUUCCAUAGCGUAGUAGUAAAACCCUCGUUACUGGUAAUCGUCGCGGCCACGCCGUUAAACCCCAACUUCUGAAUGUUGACCUCGGAUCAGGUAGGAAUACCCGCUGAACUUAAGC
rnacentral:rRNA from 1 species